UACGAAGGGGGCUAGCGUUGCUCGGAAUCAUUGGGCGUAAAGCGCACGUAGGCGGCUUUGUAAGUUAGAGGUGAAAGCCCAGGGCUUAACUCUGGAAUUGCCUUUAAGACUGCAUCGCUAGAAUCGUGGAGAGGUAAGUGGAAUUCCCAGUGUAGAGGGUGAAAUUCGUAGAUAUUCGGAAGAAACACCAGUGGCGAAGGCGACUUACUGGACACAUAUUGACGCUGAGGUGCGAAAGCGUGGGGGAGCAAACAGGG
rnacentral:rRNA from 1 species